GCUCCAUGUAUUCCGAGAACUCCGACUGUGUGGUCAAAAGACAGCAGGAGAGAUGUAUGGAGAGGAUCGCCCUGCACAACCUAACACACUACCUGGAUAAUGGCUGUCCGUGGAUGUGGGACGACCUGGCUUGUUGGCAGGAUGCAGCCGUAGGUGAAAUGGUAUCAGUCAGAUGUCCUGAAGUCUUUCAUGACCUCCUGAGUCCUGACGAUGAGAUUGGUUGGAUCAGUAGGAACUGUACAGCAGAGGGCUGGUCAGAAACAUUUCCUCACUACGUUGACGCCUGCCUGUCAGACGAUAACACCACCAGACCGG